GCGCGGGGUAUGGGCAUGGGGGCACCCUGAUCCAGCAUGCCGCGUGUGUGAAGAAGGCCUUCGGGUUGUAAAGCACUUUUGUCCGGGAAGAAAUCCUUUCUGAUAAUACCGGAGGGGGAUGACGGUACCGGAAGAAUAACCACCGGCUAACUACGUGCCAGCAGCCGCGGUAAUAA
rnacentral:rRNA from 1 species